rnacentral:rRNA from 1 species
GACGAACCGUCCAAACGUUAUUCGGAAUUACUGGGCUUAAAGGGUGCGUAGGCGGCGCGGAAAGUUGGGUGUGAAAUCCCUCGGCUCAACCGAGGAACUGCGCCCAAUACUACCGUGCUCGAGGGAGAUAGAGGUGAGCGGAACUUAGGGUGGAGCGGUGAAAUGCGUUGAUAUCCUAAGGAACACCGGUGGCGAAAGCGGCUCACUGGAUCUUUUCUGACGCUGAGGCACGAAAGCUAGGGGAGCGAACGGG